AUUUUUCUUUUUCUUUUUUAUUUUCAUUUUUUUUAUUUUGAUUUUGAUUUUGAUUGAUUUUUUUUCAUUUUUAUUUUUUCGACUUUGAUUUUGCUUUUUUCUUUUUCUUUUUUUGAAUCAGAUCUGAACUCAUAGGAUUAGGCCAGUCCUUGUUAUCCCUUUUUGAUCAGAACCAAUGUUUUUCCAGAUAAGAUCUGAGCCUUUUGGGGCACAAAUAUGACAGAAAACUUUGGAUCUUCCUCUUUAAUCAGG
rnacentral:lncRNA from 1 species